rnacentral:rRNA from 1 species
CAGUCGCCGCGGUAAUACGUAGGUGGCAAGCGUUGUCCGGAAUUAUUGGACGUAAAGGGCUCGCAGGCGGUUUCUUAAGUCUGAUGUGAAAGCCCCCGGCUCAACCGGGGAGGGUCAUUGGAAACUGGGAAACUUGAGUGCAGAAGAGGAGAGUGGAAUUCCACGUGUAGCGGUGAAAUGCGUAGAGAUGUGGAGGAACACCAGUGGCGAAGGCGACUCUCUGGUCUGUAACUGACGCUGGGGAGCGAAAGCGUGGGGAGCGAACAGGAUUAGAUACCCGGGUAGUCCCUGUCUCUUAUAC